CCGCCCCUGCGAGAGGACGUUGCGUGCUCGCUCGCGGCAAGCGAGUCUCCGCGUCUCCCUCGCGAACUCGGUGAAAGGAAUUGGCGCCGUUCGACACCAGGCGGGUCCGCUCUGCAGCACGCACCUAUCUCCAGCCGCAGCUGCCGCCCGGGUCGACGAGCAGCCGCCACCAGUGGCCGACGGAGGGGAGCCGAGGUUGAGCCAGCACCCAGCGGUGAAUCGGGGCCCUCACCAUGAGUUCCUCGCCUGUUAAUGUAAAAAAGCUGAAGGUGUCGGAGCUGAAAGAGGAGCUCAAGAAGCGACGCCUGUCCGAUAAAGGCCUCAAGGCCGAACUCAUGGAUCGGCUCCAGGCCGCGCUGGACGACGAAGAGGCCGGGGGCCGCCCCGCCAUGGAGCCCGGGAACGGCAGCCUCGACCUGGGCGGGGAUUCGGCCGGGCGCUCAGGCGCAGGCCUCGAGCAGGAGGCCGCGGCCGGCGGCGACGAGGAGGAGGAAGAGGAGGAGGAAGGCAUCGCCGCGCUGGAUGGCGACCAGAUGGAGCUAGGGGAAGAGAACGGGGCCGCGGGGGCGGCCGACGCGGGCCCGAUGGAAGAGGAGGAGGCCGCGUCGGAAGACGAGAACGGCGACGAUCAGGGCUUCCAAGAAGGGGAGGACGAGCUCGCCGAGGAGGAGGAGGGAGCGGGCGACGAGAACGGGCACGGGGAGCAGCAGGCUCAACCGCCGGCGACGCCGCAGCCCCAGCCCCCCCAGCAGCGCGGGGCCGCCAAGGAGGCCGCGGGGAAGAGCGGCGGCCCCACCUCGCUCUUCGCGGUGACCGUGGCUCCGCCCGGGGCGAGGCAGGGCCAGCAACAGACGGGAGGUAAGAAGAAGGCGGAAGGCGGCGGAGGCGGCGGUCGCCCCGGGGCUCCGGCGGCGGGAGAUGGCAAAACAGAGCAGAAAGGCGGAGAUAAAAAGAGAGGGGUUAAAAGACCUCGAGAAGAUCAUGGCCGAGGAUAUUUUGAGUACAUCGAGGAAAACAAGUACAGCAGAGCCAAAUCUCCUCAACCACCUGUUGAAGAAGAAGAUGAGCACUUCGAUGACACAGUCGUUUGUCUUGAUACUUAUAAUUGUGAUCUACAUUUUAAAAUAUCAAGAGAUCGCCUCAGUGCUUCUUCCCUUACUAUGGAGAGCUUUGCUUUUCUUUGGGCUGGAGGAAGGGCCUCUUACGGUGUGUCAAAAGGCAAAGUCUGUUUUGAGAUGAAGGUUACAGAGAAGAUUCCAGUAAGGCAUUUAUAUACAAAAGAUAUUGACAUACAUGAAGUUCGGAUUGGUUGGUCACUAACCACAAGUGGAAUGUUGCUUGGUGAAGAAGAAUUUUCUUAUGGAUAUUCUCUAAAAGGAAUAAAAACAUGUAAUUGUGAGACAGAAGAUUACGGUGAAAAGUUUGAUGAAAAUGAUGUGAUUACUUGUUUUGCAAACUUUGAAAGUGAUGAAGUAGAACUGUCCUAUGCUAAGAAUGGACAAGAUCUUGGUGUCGCCUUCAAAAUUAGUAAGGAGGUUCUUGCUGGGCGGCCACUCUUCCCACAUGUUCUCUGUCACAACUGUGCAGUUGAAUUUAACUUUGGUCAAAAGGAAAAGCCAUAUUUUCCAAUACCUGAAGAUUAUACUUUCAUUCAGAAUGUCCCCUUAGAGGAUCGAGUAAGAGGACCAAAGGGCCCUGAGGAAAAGAAAGACUGUGAAGUUGUGAUGAUGAUUGGCUUGCCAGGAGCUGGAAAAACUACUUGGGUUACUAAACAUGCAGCUGAAAAUCCUGGUAAAUACAACAUUCUUGGAACCAAUACUAUUAUGGAUAAAAUGAUGGUGGCAGGUUUUAAGAAGCAAAUGGCAGAUACUGGAAAGCUGAACACGCUGUUGCAGCGAGCCCCACAGUGUCUGGGAAAGUUUAUCGAGAUUGCUGCCCGUAAAAAACGGAAUUUCAUUCUGGAUCAGACAAAUGUGUCUGCUGCUGCCCAGAGAAGAAAAAUGUGCCUGUUUGCAGGCUUCCAGCGAAAAGCUGUUGUAGUUUGCCCAAAAGAUGAAGACUAUAAACAAAGGACACAGAAGAAAGCAGAAGUAGAGGGAAAAGACCUGCCGGAACAUGCAGUCCUCAAAAUGAAAGGAAACUUUACUCUGCCAGAGGUGGCUGAAUGCUUUGAUGAAAUUACCUAUGUUGAACUUCAGAAGGAAGAAGCCCAAAAACUUUUGGAGCAAUAUAAGGAAGAAAGCAAAAAGGCACUUCCACCAGAAAAGAAGCAGAACACUGGCUCAAAGAAGAGCAAUAAAAACAAGAGUGGCAAAAACCAAUUUAACAGAGGAGGUGGCCAUAGAGGGCGUGGAGGAUUCAAUAUGCGUGGUGGAAACUUCAGAGGGGGAGCUCCUGGGAAUCGUGGUGGAUAUAAUAGGAGGGGCAAUAUGCCUCAGAGAGGUGGUGGUGGCGGUGGAAGUGGUGGAAUUGGUUACCCAUACCCACGUGGCCCAGUUUUUCCUGGCCGAGGUGGCUAUUCGAACAGAGGGAACUACAAUAGAGGUGGAAUGCCCAACAGAGGAAACUAUAACCAGAACUUCAGAGGACGAGGAAACAAUCGUGGCUACAAAAAUCAAUCUCAGGGCUACAACCAGUGGCAGCAGGGUUCUGUCCAUGUGAAUGUGCUGUGUGGAAGAGUAAAAGGGCCCAACUAAAUGUGUUCCAGUGAUUCUAAUAGGUAUUCCAAAUUAAUUGUAUAUUUAACGAUUGUUAUGUUAGGGUUCUAGGAUCACUGUCAAUAAAAUUUGUUUUUAAAGACGGGAAAAUUGGUAACCAGGUGGACAAUGCUCUGGGAAAAACAAGUCUUCCAAGUUCCCUUUGCAUACCUGCACCGAGUAUUGGCGUCCUCUCAGUUGGAUGUCCUUCCACGUAACUGUAUAAGUAUUUACACUAUGCUCCCUUACAUGAGAUCUGAGAUAAAAACUUGUGAGUUAUAAUGUAAAACAGUAGGAUAACUUUCUGUCCUUGUUUCCCUAAAAUCUUUUCUGGAUUUAUACACAAACUGCUUUAGAAUAUCUGAAAAACGGAUCAAGCUCCUUUUGGAUAAUGAGCUAAAAGUGUGAAGUCAGUUGGGAAUUUGACUGAUGGAAUGGGAAAGGUUUGUGGUGUAAGCUAUGAUCAUGCCAGUCCAGAGCAUGUAAUUGUAUAAAUCUGACUUUGAAUCACUCAAAGGAAAUUAAUUUUCCUACUACCUAUUCCAGAGUAACGUUUUUAGAUUAAAAAAUGAGAGGACUUGGGUGCAGGUGUAAUACCUGUAGGUAUCAACAUUUAAUUUAGUACAUUGUGGCCUCUGAAGGCAACAACCCUCAUGGUUUCUAAAGAGCAGGCAGCUCAAGGUUUCGUAACCUUUUCUGUUUACUAGAAAAAACCUAAUGAAACUAGAGAAAUAAAAUUUGUUGCAAAAGUAAGCUUUGAAUUUAUGUGGUAAAGCAUACUUUUCACUUGUCUUCAUGGUAUACUGGAAGAACCAUUUCUAUGGGAAACUUAAGGUAUAUGUACAGAGAUUAUUUUAAUUCCAACUAAGGCCUUGCCCUUUGACGGGUGGUUUAAAGUGUAUGGGACAUUAAUUGCUAGAAAAAUGGUGCAAGAAGAGGUGCCACUCAUUGCCUUGAUUUAUACUUUAAAGUGAAUAAGAGUUGUGUGUUACUGUAAUUAGUGGUAGCCUUAAGAUGGAAGUAAUGUCAUCCUCUAGUGAAUAUAAUGGUUGAAAAGCACUCAUUCACAACACAUUUGUAGUGCUCACAAACUUUAUAAGUGCAAUACUUUGAAGAAUAUAUUUAUAGUAAAAUUUUUGUCCUAGCUGUUUCCCUUUUAAAAAAUAAUUUUAAGUUCUUAAUGUAUAAAGUAAGCUGUAUGGAAAUACCAGUAUUUGGGUAGUAAUAUUGGCAUAUUGACCUGAUAUUAUAUUUACUGGACUAUUUUAAGAUGCUUCCAAAGUUUUAUUUUAUUCUAGAGAACCGCUACAAAUAAGACUUAAAGCAAUCGUUUUAAUUUUUGUACUUUGCUCAUUAAGAUCUGCUUACCCAAAGGGUAGUGUAUAUUUUAACAUGACUUUUAAAGGGGUGACUUGACCCCGUCAGAUUUUUAUCUAGGAAUAGGAGGAUUCAAACCCUGUUUGAUCCCUCUUUGCUGAAAAGUGCAUAAACAGGAAUCCUGAAUUUAUUAUAUAGACCUCCUCGCAUUAUAUAAUCGAAGCAAAGGGAAACCAGCGAUGGAGUUAGAGGUACGUAGACUAAAGAGAUGCUUGCAAAUCAAAUAACGGUUCUAGUAGAGUCAAGAACUCGUGUUGCCAAACCCAGUCAAUAUAAAUCACAAAUUAGAGAAGAGCUGCUAAUUUAAAUUCCCUGAGGUCCCUUUACUGAGAUGGAAAAGCAAGUAAAAGGAGGGGUGAGGGAAGGGGAAAAUGUCAAGUGCUAGGAAGAUUAAUAAAAGUAGGUAUUAUAGAAAAGCUACCCGAAGUUUUCAAAACUAACAACUACAAUUCUAUUUUGGUCAGCUACUUAGCUGGUACCUACUGCUAUAUCACCUAGUGUGAGAUUUGGAAUUAACGGGACAAUGAAGGAAGCAGUGUGCUGGAGGCUCACAAAGGAGUAUGGAAGGCCUUCAGUUGUGCAGUCAUUCUGUCAUUCUGAUGUGAAAAUGAACUAACCUUGUUAAUGAAGAAAGCAUUGGAAAUUUACCACCUGGGAGGUCUCUUUUAUCUUAUUCAGGGUAAGGUGGAGUUAUGGUAUGUUACAGCUAGAAGACACUGGAAAUUACUCCAGUUUGCGUGGUUUUACAUGUUGCAGAUAAAUGUCUUGAGUCUUCUUUAAGUGUCCUGUGUAUAUAGCUUGUUAAAAUGUCAAGAUUUAUUGAUUGCUCCCCACCUCCCCCUCAAGCUACAUCUUAAGAGCUUCCAUGUUGAGACAGGGUAUUGCCAGGUAGGCUGACCCUAAACUCAGUAUAGCUAGCUGGUCUGGGAACUUGGAACAGUCUUACUGCCUCAGCCUCCAGGUGCUGGGAUUACAGGCAGGCAUAGACAAGACUAAUAUGCCUGGCAAGACUAACACAUUUUUAAUCAUGACCAAUUUGAAUGUUAAGACUGCAUUACAUGUUGGUCUGUGCCAGUAAGAGUUGGCAGAUUUUGUAAUUGCAUUUUCCUUUACAAUAAAUGAGUGUAAGAAGUCUUUUUGGUGGCUGCCAAAUAUGAAUCAAUAAAACUUGUUAGAGCAUGUUUGGCAACAUUCACAGCUAGUUGUGGCAUUUGGUAAACCAUAUGGCUUCUGUACCCUGACCCUCAGUGACAGUCAUACAAUGCCCUCUCGUGAACUGAACUGAUAAAGCUGCCUCUUUCCUUUGAGAAAGGAUACAAAAACAAAGUACCUUACUGUGAAACACCAAAUUGAUCAGACUAGCGGCUGAACGCUGGUCUUACCCCUUGCUGUAUUAAGCAUCUACUGUAACAGUGUUGGCCAGGCUUCCUAUGAAUCUCUAGACCCAGGUGAUCUUUGCUUUAAUCUUAGGUGUAUGCCAAAGGGAAGGUUUUCCCUGCAUGAGUUAAUAGAAUUUUGGUGUUGGGUACCUUUAUUCUUCAAAGAUUUUUUUAAAGAACUGUAGUAGAUUGACUUUUUAAGGUAAUAAACUUUUUAUGUGGUAUAUACUUUAAAUUCACUUACUAAAAUUCUACAUACUUCAAAAAGCAUUAAGGGCAACUGAAAACUUAGUGAUGUUUUUUAAGGCAAGACUUUUAAGAAACUUUUCCUUGGAUUUUACAGUUCUAAAGACAUUGUCAAUAAAUUGUACUAAUACUUUAGGCAUGCCUGACAGACAACUCGAAUUGAUGCGCUGACAGCAAAGGGCCAGAAUGAGCUGGCAAGUUUUCAUACAAGUAUGAAAAAGACAGACUCUGGCUUCCAUGUGCUUUAUUUACUCAGUUGAGAGCUACUGUGUCACGUGUAUAAAAUGCUCUGUAACUGACCCCAACAUUACUAGCACUGACUUCAAAGAGUUCUCUUUCGGUUUUCUGUGUUCAGGUUGUUCAGCUGCUGCUGUUGGUUUGUUUUCUUUCAGGAUCAAGGUGGGUGCUUUCAUAUAAAAUCUUGUUUUUCAUUCCUUCCCUGGCGAUCCUUUGCUGGAUUCUUUCCUUUGCAUAAUUAUACCUGCAAUGGAACCUUAUCAAACAAUAUUGUUAUUAAUAUAUACUAUUCUUUAUAAUCACAGAAUUUUGAAAUGCUUAUGGAUGAAGAUCUGAAGAUGAAUGCUAGAAUGCUGUUUUAGAGUCAAUACCUAUGAUCAAAAUAAUAAUAUAUAAAAUGACAAUUUCUGCCACCUUAGCUUAGUUUGAAAUGUUGUGGAACUUACAUAUUUUGAGAUUCAUUACAUAAUUUACAUUAACAAUCAGAAUGAGAUGAGAAAGAAAAUGGAACAGUUGAAUUCGUCUUAUCAUUUAUUGAUUUAUUCAAGUAUUCCUGGUAUAGUAUGUGAAUAUAUAAUAUUUAAAGGCAAAGGCAUCCCAGCACCACUGCUUUGUAAGAUGGAUUUCUAUUAAAAACUCAUUAAGAUUUUCAGAGGGUGGCUCUCCCAGUGAGAUUUGUUGGGAAAAUACAUGAGCUUUUGACCUUUGUGACCUAUAGUGAUCUUGGGUUAUGGCAAACAUACCAGCAUCCUAAAGUCACCACGAUAAAUCCUCCUACUCCAACAUCACAUGAUCUUCUAAUUCUGCCUGUAAGGAGCAAGGAAUAAGAAAUACAUACAUGAUUGUUACUUCAUCUAGAAAAAUGGUUUUCUAUAGAUAAAAGGGGUAUUUUGUGUAAAAAAAACCCUAAGCAUACUCACUAGUUAACAAAAAGUAUCCAAGUCCAGCCACAACAGAUCCUAAUGAACCAUACAAUACUGAAUCCCGUGCACAGGGAAUGUUUUCAACAUCUAAAAUUCCUAGGAGCUUAAAGGGCUAGAUUAAAAGAGAAAAAACCUAGAUUGAACAAAGUAUUUUAGUUCAAGGUAGUGCAGCAAAGAAUACAGUGUAGUAUUUUAAGAUAUAAACUCAGAUGUGCCGGUUAACACUCUUUGAUAACUGUUAUAUAACCAACUGAACCUAUAUAAUUACAAGCCUUCAAAAUUUGAUCACAAAGCCCUAAGCAGUGGUACAAUUUUACAUCCGGACAUAAUCAGCUGAUUUGAAAAUAACUUUUAGGUACAUUUCUGUGGAAAUUUUGUCUUUCAGCUGAAACAAAAUUCAGUUAUCUGGGAAGCAAAUGAAAAAAGUUACUUGAACCAUGUUUGCUUGUAAUAUUUCCUCCAUGUCUUUAUUUCAGGUUUUGGUGCUAAUCAGAUCAGUUGGCAGUUAUAACCUUUUGUUAACAUGAACAUGGAUAAUGUGUUUCUCUGGCCUCAAACCUGUUUCCCUGCCUGUCUCAUGAAGUUGCAUUUUAUGAUUGGUAGCUUAUGGAACCCACAGCUAUGUAAAUCCUAAGUUUUUUUUUCCCCCCCCUGUUUUUACCUGUACCGGGGAUCGAACUCAAGACUGACUGCUUGCAAGGCAGGCACUUACGCUGCUGAGCUAAAUCCCCAGCCCUCUGAGUGAAGUUUUACUUGGCUUGCCACUUCAUUUUAUCUCCAUGGCCUUAAUCUAAAAUGAAAAGGGAUUGUUUUUCCAACCUCUUAAAUGAGUUGUCUUAAGUUGUAUUUUAUUGACUUUUCCCUAGUAUGAUCAGCCAGAGGCCUGCCAGUUUGACAGACAUGCCUGCAACUAGCAGGAAUGUGUUGAAACUAUCUCAGUCACCAGCUUUAAACUCUGAGCAGUUGCCCAACCUCAGCCUCCUGAGUGCUGCAAUCACAGUUGUGUGACUCCACACCGGCUUGAGGACAGUAUUUCUGUUAAUAAAAGGCCCAUAGGGGCCUGGGUUGUGUUUCUAGCUUGUGGAGGGCUUUAGGUUGGAGCCCCAAGUUUUCAUGAUGGCUUAAAAAAGCAUCAAAUAGCGUUAAGGUAGCUGGAUGAGUCUGUAGGGUAAAGCAGUGGCCUACGAGAGGGAAAGCACACAGAACAAAGGACAGUAAGAGUUGAGACAUACAGAUAACUCCAUUGUAUUUCAUCCUACAUGUUUGCUUUAGCAUCUGCUGGCAAAGACAAAAUGUGACUUCGUUCAUAAUAAAGUACAAAUCAUAUA